rnacentral:rRNA from 1 species
UACGUAGGUGGCAAGCGUUGUCCGGAAUUAUUGGGCGUAAAGCGCGCGCAGGUGGUUUCUUAAGUCUGAUGUGAAAGCCCACGGCUCAACCGUGGAGGGUCAUUGGAAACUGGGGAACUUGAGUACAGAAGAGGAAAGUGGAAUUCCACGUGUAGCGGUGAAAUGCGUAGAGAUGUGGAGGAACACCAGUGGCGAAGGCGACUUUCUGGUCUGUAACUGACACUGAGGCGCGAAAGCGUGGGGAGCAAACGGG